rnacentral:rRNA from 1 species
CCUACGGGGGGCAGCAGUGAGGAAUAUUGGUCAAUGGACGAGAGUCUGAACCAGCCAAGUAGCGUGAAGGAUGACUGCCCUAUGGGUUGUAAACUUCUUUUAUAUGGGAAUAAAACGUUCCACGUGUGGGAUUUUGUAUGUACCAUAUGAAUAAGGAUCGGCUAACUCCGUGCCAGCAGCCGCGGUAAUACGGAGGAUCCGAGCGUUAUCCGGAUUUAUUGGGUUUAAAGGGAGCGUAGGUGGAUUGUUAAGUCAGUUGUGAAAGUUUGCGGCGCAACCGUAAAAUUGCAGUUGAAACUGGCAGUCUUGAGUACAGUAGAGGUGGGCGGAAUUCGUGGUGUAGCGGUGAAAUGCUUAGAUAUCACGAAGAACUCCGAUUGCGAAGGCAGUUCACUGGACUGCAACUGACACUGAGGCUCGAAAGUGUGGGUAUCAAACAGGAUUAGAUACCCCAGUAGUC